UACGAAGGGGGCAAGCGUUGUUCGGAAUUACUGGGCGUAAAGGGUGCGUAGGCGGUCGGGUAAGUCUGAUGUGAAAUCUCACAGCUUAACUGUGAAACUGCAUUGGAUACUAUCCGGCUAGAGGAAUGGAGGGGAGACUGGAAUACUUGGUGUAGCAGUGAAAUGCGUAGAUAUCAAGUGGAACACCAGUGGCGAAGGCGAGUCUCUGGACAUUUCCUGACGCUGAGGCACGAAAGCCAGGGGAGCAAACGGG
rnacentral:rRNA from 1 species